GACGUAGGUGGCGAACGUUAUCCGGAAUUAUUGGGCGUAAAGAGCUCGUAGGCGGCUUGUCACGUCGGGUGUGAAAGCCCGGGGCUUAACCCCGGGUCUGCAUUCGAUACGGGCUAGCUAGAGUGUGGUAGGGGAGAUCGGAAUUCCUGGUGUAGCGGUGAAAUGCGCAGAUAUCAGGAGGAACACCGGUGGCGAAGGCGGAUCUCUGGGCCAUUACUGACGCUGAGGAGCGAAAGCGUGGGGAGCGAACAGG
rnacentral:rRNA from 1 species